rnacentral:lncRNA from 1 species
AAGAAUUCAAAGUGAAUGGGCAUCGAUUGAAGCCCUAUUACGAGAUGUUUGAGGAGCAUGUCGUGGAGGAGGUACCCCUCCAUGCCGUGGAACCUAGUCAAGCUUAAACGGAGGUACCGUCCGGCUGAAAGACGUUAAAGCAAGCGCUUCUUGGGAGGCAACCCAUGUGUUGAAACACGAGAAGAAUGAACUUUCACUCCAAACCCAGAUUUGCGUCCCUAACCUAUCUCUUUAUUGCUAUUACUUUGCCA